rnacentral:rRNA from 1 species
AGCGAACGCUGGCGGCAGGCUUAACACAUGCAAGUCGAGCGGGCAUAGCAAUAUGUCAGCGGCAGACGGGUGAGUAACGCGUGGGAACGUACCUUUUGGUUCGGAACAACACAGGGAAACUUGUGCUAAUACCGGAUAAGCCCUUACGGGGAAAGAUUUAUCGCCGAAAGAUCGGCCCGCGCCUGAUUAGCUAGUUGGUGAGGUAAUGGCUCACCAAGGCGACGGUCAGUAGCUGGUCUGAGAGGAUGAUCAGCCACAUUGGGACUGAGACACGGCCCAAACUCCUACGGGAGGCAGCAGUGGGGAAUAUUGGACAAUGGGCGCAAGCCUGAUCCAGCCAUGCCGCGUGAGUGAUGAAGGCCCUAGGGUUGUAAAGCUCUUUUGUGCGGGAAGAUAAUGACGGUACCGCAAGAAUAAGCCCCGGCUAACUUCGUGCCAGCAGCCGCCGUAA